CAUUGAGUUGACUUAAUAUGUUAUUUGAACUUUCCCUUUCAGACAGACCACAGAACAUAGCCACACUCUGGGAUAUCUCCCCUGGUUGCCAAGAUCAAUACCACAUCAAGCCUAUGAACAAAUUUUAGUAUUAGGACUCACAAAUAUAUGGAAUGUAACAAAUUUCCAGCAGAGAAAAUUUUGGAAGAACUUUAUAAAAGAUAUAAUGAAGACUAUCAGACCAUGGGGCUUCAUUUUCUCACUUUUUUCAGUUUCCUUCUUCUUCCAGAUGCUCACAUUGACCUCAGGUGAGGAAGAGAUGAUGUCAAUGGAUCCCCAGGUGGGAGAGAUUAUGAGGAACGUCAUUAGCUUCUGGAUGGUAUCACAAGUAUUUAGUACAUCUGUAUUCCCUCACUGAUGAAUGUAAGUAUGAUAAAAAUAAAGGCAGGAAAUUCAUCUUGAGCCCCAUGGGGCAGUUUGAAUAGGAAAGGUACAAGGAUAUGAAUACUCACUGCCUCCCCCUUUUCCUAAUCCAUUUAACACAACAAUAGUAACAGUAGGCCCAGUAAUAAACAGUCUUUGGGGUUUUCUAGUAAGCUUAGUCAUAAGCUAAUAAAGAUAGAAAAUUACAGGCGCACAGGAUAUAUCACAAUCCCAGAGUUCUCUUUGCUCAGGGGUCUGUGGCUAGAGUCAAGGAAUUCUCUCUAAGUCCCUGCAGUUUCCAUUAACAUCUUCUAUCCCUGAGCUUGGUUGUCUCUUUCCUCUUCUGGAAUGUUCCCUAUAUGAGAAAAAAUGGGUGUAAAGAAGUGAUAAUGAGCUUUCUUUGGAGACCAUGAGAUCACAGGAGAUUCACAUCUCUCCACUUCAAUACCUUCUCUCCUCAGCAGGAGAGUUGGUCUAGUGGUCAUCUUCUAUGAGACAAAUUUAGUUGAAGAAAGCUCUUACUCCCAGUUUUUAAGAGCUCCUGAGCCAUUUAGAUAGAAUUGACAGUUCAAAGGGUAGGGGAAAGUUUGAUUAUGUAUGCCCUUGAUCCUUAGUGUCUUCUUGCAGAUAUUAAGAAACAUGCCUUUCUAUGGAAGAUAAAUGGAAUCCUGGCAGUGACAAGCUCACUGGAAGUGGGUGUUUGUAUUUGUUAUUUGUGGACAAGACACAGUUGCUCAGGGUUUAUUUUCAAGGAAGAAUGGAUGAACUGGUUUGUUUGGAGUGUCAUGAUGAUCUUCCUCAUACUCUUAGGAAUAAUAACUUUGAAAGGUGGAUAUGGGUAUACUUUCUUUUUUAUACUGAUAUUUUCACUGGAUUUCAACAACAUUGAGAGCAUCGUCUUUGUACUUCCUACGAUACGGAUAGUUCUUUCUUUUCUUUUGUCUGAAACAUAAUUUAAUAAGAAAACUGCAGUAAAAUUCUCUUCUUCAAACUCUAAA
rnacentral:lncRNA from 1 species